GAUAAACGCUGGCGGCGCACAUAAGACAUGCAAGUCGAACGAACUUAAUUGAGAGCUUGCUCUCAAAGCGGUUAGUGGCGGACUGGUGAGUAACACGUAAGCAACCUGCCUAUUAGAGGGGAAUAACAGCGAGAAAUCGUUGCUAAUACCGCAUAUGCUGCGAGUAUCGCAUGAUACAAGCAGGAAAGGAGCAAUCCGCUAAUAGAUGGGCUUGCGUCUGAUUAGUUAGUUGGUGGGGUAACGGCCUACCAAGACGAUGAUCAGUAGCCGGACUGAGAGGUUGAACGGCCACAUUGGGACUGAGAUACGGCCCAGACUCCUACGGGAGGCAGCAGUCGGGAAUAUUGCGCAAUGGAGGAAACUCUGACGCAGUGACGCCGCGUGCAGGAAGAAGGUUUUCGGAUUGUAAACUGCUUUUAACAGGAAAGAAAAAAAUGACGGUACCUGUUGAAUAAGCUCCGGCUAACUACGUGCCAGCAGCCGCGGUAAUACGUAGGGAGCGAGCGUUAUCCGGAUUUAUUGGGUGUAAAGGGUGCGUAGACGGAAAUGCAAGUUAGUUGUGAAAUACCUCGGCUUAACUGAGGAACUGCAACUAAAACUAUAUUUCUUGAGUAUCGGAGGGGUUUGUGGAAUUCCUAGUGUAGCGGUGAAAUGCGUAGAUAUUAGGAAGAACACCGGUGGCGAAGGCGACAAACUGGACGAUAACUGACGUUGAGGCACGAAAGUGUGGGGAGCAAACAGGAUUAGAUACCCUGGUAGUCCACACCGUAAACGAUGGAUACUAGGUGUUGGCAAUGAAUAAUUGUCGGUGCCGGCGCUAACGCAAUAAGUAUCCCACCUGGGGAGUACGACCGCAAGGUUGAAACUCAAAGGAAUUGACGGGGGCCCGCACAAGCAGUGGAGUAUGUGGUUUAAUUCGAAGAUACGCGAAGAACCUUACCAAGGCUUGACAUAUAGAGGAAUAAGUAGGAAACUAUUUAGCUCUUCGGAGUCUCUAUACAGGUGGUGCAUGGUUGUCGUCAGCUCGUGUCGUGAGAUGUUAGGUUAAGUCCUGCAACGAGCGCAACCCCUAUUUCUAGUUGCCAGCACGUAAUGGUGGGAACUCUAGAAAGACUGCCGGUGAUAAAUCGGAGGAAGGUGGGGACGACGUCAAAUCAUCAUGCCCUUUACGUCUUGGGCAACACACGUACUACAAUGGCCGUUACAGAGAGAAGCAAUACAGUGAUGUGGAGCAAAACUCAAAAAGCGGUCUCAGUUCGGACUGUAGGCUGAAACUCGCCUACACGAAGUCGGAAUUGCUAGUAAUGGCAGGUCAGAAUACUGCCGUGAAUACGUUCCCGGGCCU
rnacentral:rRNA from 1 species